rnacentral:rRNA from 1 species
GACGAACGCUGGCGGCGUGCUUAACACAUGCAAGUCGAACGGAAAGGCCCUGCUUUUGUGGGGUGCUCGAGUGGCGAACGGGUGAGUAACACGUGAGUAACCUGCCCUUGACUUUGGGAUAACUUCAGGUAACUGGGGCUAAUACCGGAUAGUAGCUCCUGCUGCAUGGUGGGGGUUGGAAAGUUUCGGCGGUUGGGGAUGGACUCGCGGCUUAUCAGCUUGUGGGUGGGGUAGUGGCUUACCAAGGCUUGGACGGGUGGCCGGCCUGAGAGGGUGACCGGCCACUUUGGGACUGAGAUACGGCCCAGACUCCUACGGGAGGCAGAAGUGGGGAAUAUUGCAAAAUGGGCGGAGGCCGGAUGCAGCAACGCCGCGUGCGGGAUGACGGCCUUCGGGUUGUAAACCGCUUUCGCCUGUGACGAAGCGUGAGUGACGGUAAUGGGUAAAGAAGCACCGGCUAACUACGUG